CUCCUGAAAUUGCCACAUAAAUUUCUACAGACCUAACAAGGCCACAAGAGAGGAGACCAAGAUAUCUAAUGCCAGUCUCCAUGGAGAGCCCAAGGAGCAACAGGGCAUUCCUGCCGCUGCCUAUCAGUCUCCUACAGCCGAUGAGGGAGGGAGAAUCUGGCACAUCUUCUUCUGAUGUGUCAGAUACAGAAGCUGAAAAUGAGGAAUCCUCGCAAGAGGAUUUUCCACCAGCAGCCCAGAGUCCGGAGGGGAGUGUGGACGAGGUGGCUCAUACUGAAU